GGACAAUGAACAUUUCAUGGCUGUUAAGUGGGGGUUUGCUUUGUGCAGUGGUGGGAGAUCUUGAAGGUAAAAGUCACCACUUUAGCAUCUCCCAAUUUACAAGUAAAGGAAAAGUCAAAAAGAGAGAAAACCCAUUUAUCUUUAUGUCAUCUCAAUUUUCUUUGAAGAAUUUCGGCCCAGUAAAAUGAAAAGAUGUUUGCCAUCAAAGGUCAGUUUCUUCUCUUUUUUUCUCCUCAUAGUUUGGGGAAAUGACUAGUGCCAGGGCGGGGCAGGGGAGGCACAAGAUUGUUGAAGGGGAAAUGAAUGCCCGUAAUGCCACCAUGUAUGAGGCCAAUGUAACUGCUAGGGAGGCAGGCUUGCCAUGGGGCAGAGCACUAAAUCAUCUACCCAGGGUAGGACUCAUUUGAGCACACUUUGCUCUGAGCACCGUUGCUUAGUUUUUGUUUUGUUUUGUUUAGCUGUGUCUUUCCUGAUUUCUCUCAAGUCUGAACAAGAAAGAUCAACUACAUUCAAGAAGUGGGCAUGCAAACAGGGCAGAUGGCUUCCAGGCAGCCACAGGAUGUGCACCUCUGAACAGGCGGGCAAGCACAGGCACAUUUGCCCACCUUCCUCCAACAGCGCUGGCCUUAUUUCCAUAAUGCUGCGGAGAGCAAGGGCAACAGAAGUCUUCAGAAAGACCGCUAAACGUCAUUACAUGGAGGGCUAUGAAGAUUCUACUACUGUCACGAGGAACAAAAACCUUGAUCGUAGCAUUACUGCCUCUACAGGAUGGAUUUAAACCCAAGCGCUGUUGGCAGGCUCCUGCCGAGGUCCCCCCUCCCCGCCUCCUGACAGCUGAAGAAAUUCGGUGGAAGGACCGAUUCAACACGUUUGGCAGAUCCAGAUGGUGGGGGGAGUAGAUGACGGGAUGGCCACAGCCUCAGAAGAGCCCUUCUACAUCAGGAACGGUUUUCCUCUUCCGCGUGGAUAAGAAACAACAUUCCAGAAGGAGGAGGGACCCAGCAGGGGAGCCCUGGAGAAACCAUGCAGGCAGAUGCAGUCCCACGCAGGGACGGAACCGAAGCCAAAGAUCAGAAGCUCCUGCUUUCAAUUUUAAACUUCUAACGGAC
rnacentral:lncRNA from 1 species